rnacentral:rRNA from 1 species
GUUUGAUCCUGGCUCAGAGCGAACGUUAGCGGCAGGCUUAACACAUGCAAGUCGAGCGACAAAGGGGCUUCGGCCCUGAGUAGAGCGGCGGACGGGUGCGUAACACGUGGAUAAUCUGCCUCGUGGCGGGGGAUAACAGUCCGAAAGGACUGCUAAUACCGCAUGUCAGGUCGGAAAACCCUGGUUUCUGACGAAAAAAGAGGGGCGCCCCGGCAAAGGGGGCUCUCACCACGAGAUGAGUCCGCGGCCCAUCAGCUAGUUGCGGUGUAAUAGACCACCAAGGCUAAGACGGGUAGCUGGUCUGAGAGGAUGACCAGGCCACACUGGGACUGAGACACGGCCCAGACUCCUACGGGAGGCAGCAUGGGGAUAUUGGACAAUGGGCGAAAAGCCUGAUCCAGCCAUGCGCGUGAGUGAUGAAGGUCUUCGGAUCGUAAAAGCUCUGUGGGAAGGGCGAAAAAGC